CGUCCCGGGGCCGGCGGGCGGCUCAGGCCUGCAGUCCCCGGCCUCCGGGAGUGGGAGUGGGCGCCGAUUCCUUGGGGGCCCGGCGGGGGGCUGGUUCCUCGGGGGUCCCCGCAGCGAGCAGGGGCCGCAGGUGCCCGGGAGGCCUGGACUCGCGCCGCGGCCAAGGGGGAGGGAGUUGCCCUUAGAAGACGGAACUCCUGUGGUGGGGAUCUGAAGAGCCUCAGCCGGUAUCCCCCACGACCCGGAGAAUCUGUGCUCUUACACUGCAAGAGCUAUCUCACGUGAAGGAUCUUAGGUUGUUAAUGUGUGUGAAUCCUAGAACCUGGCAUAUACAGAGCUUUUCGGAUCCUGCAGAGUAGUGAAGUUAUCCGUAUGGGCAAAAUGGUUUUUUUAAUUCUUGAAUUAACCGAGAAGACGCGAUAGAGUGAGUUUUAUAGAUUUAGGAAUCGAAGAAGCAGUUUUUUUAAAGGAAGCAAAAUUCUUAGGGAAAUUUUUAAAAAUGUGAACUAGUUAGUAGUUUUACAAGUAGGCACACAAGAAGUUGUAAUUAUCUGUAGAACGUGUGUAUGUGAUGAGACUGAACAAUGUUUUUCAACAGGCAUUCGAAAGCAUUUGUGGAACUUGUGGAUUUGGGUUGGGAGAUGAGUAUUGAACAGCUGGUAGGCAGAAGUGCGUAUUUGCGCUAAUCUGAAGCCCUGGAGGAGCAAGCCCUAUAGGUUUAAAGCCUUCUUUAUCAUAUCUGCUUUUGAAACAGAAGACUUCCUAGAAGUUCUUAUCUAAUGUAUGUGGUGAGCAUUAAUGCUACUCUGUUUAAUGAUUCAUAGCUGCUAGUAGGAAUCUGUCUAAACAGCAUAUUAGGAACAGGUUUUAAGCUUUCAUCUUUUAUAUUGAUCCAAGCUAGUUAUCCACAUCUCCAAAACUUAAAGCCACAUGUAUAGGUGUAUGUAGUGGACUGCAGAGCAUUGGACCAGGGUUUUGAGGGCUGAGUCCUUGACCCUACUCUGCUGUUAACCAGCAACGUGACUUUGGGUCAGGCUCUUUCCCUUUUCAAGCAUAAGUAUGUUCAUCCACAGAAUGAAAGCAAGUUUCUUCCAACAACAAUUCUGUGAAGUAUAAAAUUGUCCACACACAGGCCUCUGUUUUAGAAGUUAAGUCUGCAUUAACUAUGACUAAGUUGAACGAGUUCGAUCUUUUUAAAUGUUCUUGUGUUUUAUAUUGCUUUUUUAAAGGUGGGAUGUCUUACGUGCCAGUGAAGGGCAAUGAGGAGUCCCAAAUUCGUUCUGUUGAAAAGGGACAAAUAGUAAAUAUUUUGGGCUUUGCUGGCCGUAUAUGCUCUCUGUUGCAUAUUCUUCUUUAUGUGUUUACAAAACACAAAAAUGUAAAACCAUUCUUAGCUCAGAGACAUACAAAACAGAGCCUGUAGUCUGCUAACGAAGGGUGCUGGUAGUGUGGUCUAUGGUACUCUCCUCUUACAGCUUUGGAGUAGAACUUAAAGAUCUGGUCAGAACAUGCUCAUUAAUGAUACUCUUUUUGCUCCUUUUGAAGAAAUAACAAAGUAUACCUUCAAGUUAGGAUCUAAAUAAAAUUAAGAAAAAGCCUUCUCUGUUCUAUUUUGGUUUGUCUUUGGGGUGAGAAGGAGUUGAAAUAAAACUUUCAAUCUUUUUAAUGGUACACAAAGACUUUCGAACUUGAAAUGUAAUUUUUAGGACAGACACAUUUGCAUUAAUGAAUCUUUACUUGAAACAUGUUUAAUCCAAUGCAAGUUAUUUUUAUGUUUUGCUCAAUUUUAUUAACAUUCAAAAAAUAAAUUUCCAUUGCCUUUUGGCAUAAAGAGAGAACUUAAAUAUUCAGGGUUCAGUUACAAGUUGGAACUCUCUGAAAGCAGAACUCUUACAGUAAUGUAUACUAAAUAGCAAUCUAGAUAUCUUGGAGGCAAUUUACUUAAAAAUUGAUCUAAGACAUAGAAAUAUGAGACAAAAGGAAAAUAUGUGCUUGAUUCUCUUAAGGGAGUUUGGGAUUGUCUGAAAACACGGUCCUCCAUUGCUUUCUAAGUGGGAAACAUUUGGGGCAGCUCAUAUCUAAUGCUUAGUUCUCUACUUAACACUGGGCUAGGCAUUGCAGGCAUCAGAAGAGGAGUAAGAAGCUCUUAAGGAUCUUGUCAAUUAUAGGAGUACUCAUGUAUAACAUAAGGUAGAAUGUAUGCCAUAGGAGAGGUGCCAAGUGUUAUGAAAUACUAAGGAGGUAUGACCAAGAAAGGCUUUUUGACUUAAUUCAGAUGGACUUUAAAUUAGAGUGGAGUGAGGGGAGUGGAAUUAUGAGGGCUUCCAGGCAGAGAAAAAAUGUGAUCAAAAGUGGAAAGUGUAGGAGCCUUUUCAAGGACUAGUGUUUUCAGGAUAACAGAACAUAAAAUUAGAAAGAGGCCAUAUUAGGAAAGACUCUGAAGAAGGGCAGCAGAUACGAUAUUUCAGCAAGCAAUGGAGACCCGUUGAAAAGUUUUUGACUUUGAGUGGCAGAAAGGGUAAGGAAUGACACUCUUUCAGUGGUCUGGAUUGGGUGCUAGGUCAUGAACAUCCAGCCAGGGUGACAGCAGUAGAAUAGAAAGGGAGAGACUGGAUAUGUUAUUGAAGGACUGCUGGGUAGCCACUAUAUGAGGUGCUUUGUGGAAUAAUGUUUAAUUGAGGCCAGACUAUCAAGGUUGGAUGGAGAGCUUUGAACUAAUUGUGUAGGUAACAGGGAGUGGUAGGUUUAAGAGAAAUGACUCAUAAAGCAGUGCUUUAGGAGUCGUUUGUCAGGGCCACGGGAAUUAGAGGAAUAAAACUGUAGACUUAACUUGGGGGCUGAUUUUGUAUGGCAGAUACGAAGUGAGAAACUGGGUCAGUGGUACUCAAACAUGGGAAUGAGGGUGACAGUGGGGAAGAGGCAUUUGGCAGUGUCUAAAGACGUUUUUGAUUGUCAUAACUAGAAGGGAGAGAGCAGUUCUACUGGCAUCUAGUGGGUAGAGGCCAGAAAUGUUGCCAAACAUCCUGCAGUGCACAGGAUAGCCUCCACAAGAAUUGUGUGCCCAAGAUGUCAACAGUGCUGAGACUGAGAAACCCUAACCUGGACUGUAGUGGUGGGAGUGGGACAAAAAAUCAGAUAUGGGCUGGGCACGGUGGCUCAUGCCUGUAAUCCCACCACUUUGGGAGGCUGAGGCAGGUGGAUCACCUGAGGUCAGGAGUUCGAGACCAACCUGGCCAACAUGGUGAAACCCUUUCUGUACUAAAAAUACAAAAUUAGCUGCUUGUGGUGGCACAUGCCUGUAAUCCCAGCUACUCCGGAGGCUGAGGCAGGAGAAUCAUUUAGAACCUGGGAGGAGGAGGAGGUUGCAGUGAGCCAAGAUCGUGCCACUGCACUCCAGCCUAGAUGACAGAGCAAGACGCUGUCUCAAAAAAAAAAAAAAAAAAAAAAAAAAAGAGAGAGAGAGCGAGAGAUGGUAGAGAUUAUGAAGGUAAACUUGAUAGGCCUGGGUUAUUUGGCAGUGUUUUGGUGAGAGUACAAGGGGGCAAGGAUUAUUCUUUGGACACCACUCACAGUUAGAAAAGGGGCAGGAAGAGGGCUUACUUUUCAAAAGAGACAAUGGUGAGUUUGGUUUCAUACAUUUUUAGAUGGCAAUUCAGAUCUCUUGGAGGCAGUUGGAAGUGGGUGGAGAUUUGUCCACCCCGACUGCUGGUUCUUACAGCGGUUUAGGUUCAGAGGUUCGGGAUUUCUUCCUCUGUUUUGCUCACCUAAUUGUUUAGGGGUGGGAGACAGUGUCACAUAGACGGGGCAUGCACAUACAUAUCAGGACCUUGGUUGCUACAGUAGUUUUCAGUGUUUGUUAGUAAAAGUUAGUAGGAGACUGAGUCAUUUGGGGUCAUGAGUGUAGAGAACAAAUAACACCGAGUCCACAACCGAACGAGGAAGGAGCUGGCGUUUAUUGAGUGCCUAUUAUGUUCCUUUAACCAGGCAAAUCAUUUUCAUGGAAGAACUCAUUUGAUUCUUGCAACAACCUUGUGAAGUGGGUGUUAUUCUUGUUUAUUUUUAUUUUUAUUUUUUGAGACAGAGUCUCGCUCUGUCGCCCAGGCUGGAGUGCAGUGGUGCAGUCUCGGCUCACUGCAACCUCCACCUCCCAGGCUCAAGCGAUUCUCCUGCCUCAGCCUCCUGGGUAGCUGGGACUACAGGCAUAUGCCACCACCACACUCGGCUAAUUUUUGUAUUUUUAGUAGAGGCGGGGUUUCACCAUAUUGGCCAGGCUGGUCUUGAACUCCUGACCUUGUGGUCCGCCCACCUCGACCUCCCAGAGUGCUGGGAUUACAGGCUUAUUCUUGUUUACUAACUAAGAACUUGAUAGCAGAGCAGUUAAAUAAUUUAUUUGUGAAUAUUCGUAUCUCUCCCUUACUAUUAUUCACAUCCCAGCUCUUACCUUCUCUGGUCAUGUGGUUUGGGAGCAGGGUGAGGAAUAAAAUUCAGUUGGUCUGAUUUUGACUUGCCCAUAGUUCUUAUGAACAGUAGGGAUUUUAGAAUAUCUGAUUUUGAGUUACGUAUCAACUUCCUCCUUUGCGUAGUAAGUAGUUAAAUGUAUGAUGAUGUCUUGAAACACAGCCACUUCAGAGAAAGAGGGAGAUUCUUGUAGUUGGUAUUCAGGGCACACACAGAUACAGUUUUUCUUUAUUACCACUGUCAAAUGUUUUAAGGUGUGUUCAUUACAUUUGCUUUGGAAUAGCAGAGGAAAAUCUAUUCUGAGUUUAAGAGUUUGUUUUUGAAGACAGAAUAUCAAUAGACAAAGUGAAGGAGUGGAUGCUUUGUAAAAUUAUGCUCCAUGCCACAUAACAGCAAGAUGAGGGGGAGAAAAAUCUGGCUCAUAGGAUUUAAUCAUGAGGAAUUUUGCUGUCUGCUGAGCAAGAAAAUAUUCAGUGUUGUGGCUUAAAAGUCAGCUUUUCCCAAAGUAGUUUAUUUUAUUUUUUAAAGAUUAGGAAAGAUGUACUAUUUACCACACUAAUCAGAAUGUUUUCUUAGCUUUCACCAAAAGCUUCUGUUUUGGGAAAUGUCUUAAAACUUCAUACAGACUUUGAAUGCAUAAUAGGUUGAUAAAAGGUUCCAGUACUAACUGUUCUUUCAUUGAGGUUUGUAAGCAAUGUACCUUGUUAAUGAAGCUGAAAAUCUUUAGAUCAUUUGUGUUGAGCAAUAUCUUGUUAGAAUAUUUGCAUAACACAUAAAUUUAAUGGGGAAAAGCAAUAACAGUGAAACAAACCAUUUUGUUUUUCUCUUGAAACUUGUUUAAAUCAAUUACAAGAUCUGGCAUUAGUGAGAAGUUUAAAAAUAGGAAAGCAGAGCUCAUUUCUGUGUUGAAAGUUAUAAACUUAACAAGUCUCAGGUUUGUUAUUCUGGAGUAGUGGUUUUUAGUUCUGAAUCACUAAAAUAAUUGUAAUAAACUACAGAAAUAAUCUUGCCUUAAUCACUUACCUAUACACAGUUGAAAAAGAUACUGUUUGUGAAAGAAGUCACAGUCAAUGUCCUUCUGUAGUGUCCUAUUUAUUUACUUUUAAAAUUUCUGUCUUCUUGAGUUUCUUGUGCUAGUUUCAGUCAUUUUGUUUGUUUGUUUGUUUUAAUCAAUAGCCCAGAGUUAGAGUUUUAGUAUAUUGGGAAUUCAUGCCAAACAUUUGAUGGAGCGACACAAGAGCAUGAGAAGCUGGUAUAAAGAGCACUAACUGGGAGGCAAGUUCCAGUUCUGGCAUUAGCUAACUUUGUGACCCUGAACAAAUCACAGAAUGUCUGAUUUAGCUAUGGGAUUGGGUUUUCAUGAUUUCUGACUCAAAUGAGAGUAUCUUUGUGUAGGAGCGGCUAAUCUAUUCUAGCCACACCUCUUUAAAAGUAGCACAAAGUCGGCCGGGUGCGGUGGCUCACGCUUGUAAUCCCAGCACUUUGGGAGGCCCAGGCGGGCGGAUCACGAGGUCAGGAGAUCGAGAUCACGGUGAAACCCCGUCUCUACUAAAAGUACAAAAAAAUUAGCCGGGCGUGGUGGCGGGCACCUGUAGUCCCAGCUACUCGGAGAGGCUGAGGCAGGAGAAUGGUGUGAACCCGGGAGGCGGAGCUUGCAGCGAGCCGAGAUCGCGCCACUGCACUCCAGCCUGGGUGAGAGAGCGAGACUCCGUCUCAAAAAAAAAAAAAAAAGUAGCACAAAGUCUUGUGGUUAAUUGCUCCACUAUCUUGACACUGGAACAGGAUUAUUUGACAUUCUUUGAGGAAUAUAAAGAGCAGAUACAUACAAGAGGAAACUGAUGAAAGGGUCAUAAAUCCAUGGGUGCUUAGUUCUUCAAGGCCGUGAGAAUUUGAAAUGGGUGAUAAGACUUGUCAUUUCUGAUGUUUUCCCUUAUAUAUGUUUUAUUUUCUGUAGCCUUUCCUAUUAUAGAUGCAUCUUCACUCAUCUUUUCCCUCUGUGUAAGAAAUUUGUCUAAUGGAAGUUAAACUGUAUACCAGAUUUCAUUGAGGUUUGAUAAAUUCUAAGACUUAGGCUUUUUAAAAUUAAGAAUACUACAUCUCUUCUCCAUUUUGUUUCAAGAAUUAGCCAGGUGUUGAAUUUGGGGGUCUGUCUCAUUAAAUAAUGAAGCCCGAAUUUAUUAGUCUAUCUCUUUUGGGUUGUUGAUUCCAUUGAGAUUCUGCUGCACACACUGGACAUCAUCUUAGAAAACAUAGUUCCAGGGGACUGUUGUGGGGUGGGGGGAGGGGGGAGGGACAGCAUUAGGAGAUAUACCUAAUUCUAAAUGACGAGUUAAUGGGUGCAGCAAAACAACAUGGCACAUGGAUACAUAUGUAACAAACCUGCACAUUGUGCACAUGUACUCUAAAACCUAAAGUAUAAUAAUAAUAAUAAAAAGCGGAAAAAAAAAAGAAAACAUAGUUCCACAGAAUUUUGCACUUAAUUUGUGAUUUCCAACCUUCCCCUAAUUGAGUCAAGCUCAUCUUAUGGACGUCUACAUUAAUUCAAUUUUAAGGAAGAGCAGGCUGACCUGUGAAAUGCUAAACAUUUCUUUGUCUUAAAUCAGUUUUAAAUACUUUGAACAAAGACCUCCUUGUGGCUGUUCUUUGUAUUGGGGGUAUACAUGCAGUGGUGAAGGAUCAAGACAUCUUCUCUGACUUGUGCCAAUGUCAAAAAGAAAAAGAACUGGCCAGGCAUGGUGGCCUGCACCUGUAGUCUCAGUUACGUGAGAGGCAGAGGCAGGAGGAUCACUUGAGCCUGGGAAGUCGAGGCUGCAGUGAGACAGUGAGACAUAGUAGACAUAGUAGUGUCAUUGCACUCCAGCCUGGGUGACAGAGCAAGUCUCCGUUCCCCGCCCCACCACCACCCCCCUCUUCCCCCCACAAAAAAGAGGAAAAAAGGAACUGUGUACAAUAAUAGAGAAUCAUUGGGUGGUAGAAUCAGAGGAGGUAGUGGGGACCUACUUAGGUGUAAGGGAAGGCGCCUUAGAGGACGCCUGGAUGGGGGGUCAGGGGAGGGAGAACAAGGUGUUUCAUAUUGAGAGAACUGGGAAGGGCCUGAGGCUGUGAAGAACGCAGUGUGAAGAGCACAGUGUGUUUAAGGAACUGAAACUAUGGACAAGAGGGGAGAAUGGCGGGGACUGCAUAAGGCAGGCCCUUGUACUCAGUGAUAAGGAAUUUGGAUUUUAGUGGAAAUAUACUAAAAGUUUUUAUUUGGGGGUGUAGCAUCAUCUGAAUUAUACUUUAAAAGAUCAUGCUGACUGAUGUAUGAGCAAAAAGAAUACUGGGGGCAAGUGGAAGCAGAUAGGCUAGUGGAUAUGCAGCAGUCCAGGCAGCAGACAGCAAUGGCUUAGAUUAGCAAGGUGGCAGUAGGAUAGAGAGCAGUGGACAUAUCUGAGAAUUUUUUAGGUGGUAGAAAUAUGAAGGCAUAAAUAGGGUUGGAUAUGGAACAUAAGGGAGGGGAAAGAACUCAAGGAUGUUGCUGGAAGUUGCCGCUAUUGGAUGGUUGGAAGAGGAGUGGAUUUUGGGGGGGUUGUUUCGUGGGAGAGGUAAGGGUGAAUUCAGCAGUUCCCCUUUUGUCUAUCUUAGUUCUCAGAAGCCUGUAAGAUUGUCAAGGAGGCCUGUUAGAGAGAUCGAUACAUCUUUAGGAAUUCAGAGAUACUUGGCUUAGAGAUGUCAGUUUGAAGAUUGUCACUAUGUUAGUGAUACUUAAGGUAAUGAAAAUGAAUGAAAUAAUUGAAGGAAAGAUUAUAAAGAAGAAAGAAAGAUUGACUAGAAUUGGAAUCCUGAGGAAUGCUGAACAUUUCCAAGUUGGGUAAACUGGAAGGCUUCUUGGAAGGAGGCUAGGAAGCACACAAUCAGAGUGGUGCAAAUUGGGAAUGUGUAAGGUACAGUAUUAUCAUGUCAUGGAUGCCAAAUAAUGCAAGUAUUUCAAGGCGGGUGGGUAGUCAGCUGUAUUGAGUUUCACUGAGAGGCUGAGAACAUGUGGGCAGGAAUGUGGCCAUUGGAUUUGGCAACCUGGAAGUUAUUAGUAACUUCAGUGAGCCAGUUUCAUGGACUAGUGUAGAUGGAUGCCAGAUUUGAGUGAUUUGAGGGAUAAAUGAUGGCUGAGGAACUAGAGACAGGGUGUAUAGGUAGCUUUUAAAGAAGUUUGCCUAUGAAAGGGAAUAUAUACAGGGUAGAAGCUAGAGAUGUAUGAGGAUAUAAAGGAAAUCUUUUUGUUUGUUUCUUUUUGAGUGUGAGAAAUUCUGCAGAAUGAUUUUAGUUGUUAGGAUUGCUAAGAUAAGGGAGAUGAGAAGUCCUUGAGAAAGCAGGAGUGGUCAGGAUCCUGACUGCACAGAGUCCUUUGAUAGGAAGGGGAUACUUUCUCCGUUUUUUUUUCUUUUUCUUUUGUGAUGGAUUCUCACUCUGUCGCCCAGGCUGGAGUGCAAUGGUGUGGUCUUGGCUCACUGCAACCUCCGCCUCCCAGGUUCAAGCGAUUCUCCUGCCUCAGCCUUCAGAGUUGCUGGGAUUACAGGUGCCCACCACCACGCCUGGCUGAUUUUUGUCUUUUUAGUAGAGACAAGGUUUCACCAUGUUGGCCAGGCUGGUCUCGAACUGCUGACCUCGUGAUCUGCCCUCCUUGGACUCCCAAAGUGCUGGGAUUACAGGCAUGAGCCACUGUGCCCAGCCACUUCCUCAGUUUUAACAGUGGGGAAGAAAGAACAACAUGGUUACAGACGCAAGUAGGAAUAUAGAUUUAGUGGGUGGAAUAUAGAUUUAGUGGGAGGAUGUUCUGGCCUAAUGGCUUUUAUUUGUUUUUUACAAACUGAGGUGGGAUUAACAGUGUAGUAGUGACAUAAAAUCUUAAUAUGAAAGUAAGAAAAAAAUACAUUCACAUUAGCUUUAAAGAGGCCUAACAUACUUACGAAUAAACUUAAGAAAAGAGUCACCAAGAUUUUUUAUUUAAAACUACAAAACAGGGCUGGGCACAGUGACUUACGCCUGUAAUCCUAGCACUUUGUGAGGUCGAGGCGGGCAGAUCACUUGAGCCCAGGAGUUUGAGACCAAUCUGGGCAACAUAGGGAGACCCCUGCCUGUAAAAAAAGAUAAAAUAAAUUAGCUGGGUGUGGUGGUGUGCACCUGUGGUCCCAGCUACUUGGGAGGCUGAGGCAGGAGGAUGGUUUAAGCCUGGGAGGCAGAGGUCAGGGAGGCAGAGGUCAGAGAGACCCGAGAUUGCGCCAGUGGACUCCAUCCUGGGCAACAGAGCCAGACCAUGUCUCAAAAAAAAAAAAAAAAAGGAAAAGAAAAGAAACAAAUAAUUGGGCUUUAUUAAAUAUUUUUAAAACUUUUACACUUGAGAGGAUCCUUAAGAAAGUAUAAAAAGAUAAGCUGCAGAUUGGGGAGAAAUAUUUGCAUAUUAUAAACAUGGUAAAGGUCUUUAAUCUAGAAUAUGUUUGAAAAAUCUUACAACUCACUUAUAAAGAAAAAAAAAAAAACUGGGCGAAAGCCCAUUCUUAGGCUUAAGCCCAUUAAAUAGGUAUUUCACCAAAGACGACAAUAAGAAUGGCCAAUAAGCAUAUGAAAAGAUGUUAACACCAUUAAUCAUUAGGGAAAUGCAAAUUAAAUCACAGUAAUAUACUAUCACGCACUGACCAGAGUGGCUAUAAUUAAAAAGACUGACAAUACCUAGUAUUUGUAUUGUUGAGAAACUGGAACCCUUAGGCACUUCUUGGGACUGUAAAUGACACAGCCACUUUGGGAAACAGUUUGGCUUUUUCUUAAAAAGUUAAGCAUAAAUUUGCCAUAGCAACCAGCAGUUCCACUCUUAGGAACCUGCCCAAGAGAAAUGAAAAUACAUGUGCAAAUAAAGAAAGGUAUGUACAUAUCUGUUAGCAUUAUUCACAAUAGUCAAAAACUGGAAAACAAUUCAAAUAUCCAUCACAUGCUGUUUGAAUAAAAUGCGGAAAACUAUUCUGCAAUAAAAAAGAAACAAAUUAGUGAUAUAUGUUAUAACAAACAUGAAUGUCAAAAACAUGGCUCUGGGCAACAUAGCAAGACCCUGUCCCAAAAAAUUAAUAAAUAAAAUUAGCCAAAUGUGAUGGCACCCGCAUAUCAUUGAAGCUAUUCUUGGAAGGCUGAGGAAAGAGGAUAGCUUAAGCCCAGGUGUUUGAGGCUGCAGUGAGCUGUGUUCACGCCACUACACUCCAGCCUGGGUGACAGAGCAAGACCUCAUCUGUAAUAACAACAUGCUAACUGUCAAACCAAAUAUAAAAGAGUACAUAGUGUGUGGUUACAUUUAUAUGGACUGUCUACAAAAAGCAAAUCUAUAGAGAUACAGCAGAUUAGUGGUUGCCUGAGGCCACAGCAAGAGAAAUGGUCUGGAGGAAAAUACUUGGGUGACAGAAAAAUUCUAAAAUUAGAUUGCAGUGAUAGUGCUCUAUACACUCUAUAAUUUUCUUAAAACUCAAUGAAUUGUACACGUACGAUGGUUGAAUUUUAUGGUGUAUAAAUUAUACUUCAAAGCUAUGAAUUAAAAAUUACAAAAUAGUCAUCUUGGAGAAUGUAAAGGUUGAGUGUAGUGGAGAAUGAAGGACUGUGUACUGCUUACAUAGUUUAAUUACAAAACUUCAGCAUAAUGUAAUCUGGCAUUUGAUAAAAGAUUUAAAUUUUGAAAGAUGAUGUACUGAUAGAUUUUUACGUGUAGAGGAGAUUGCCAUAUCUCAUCUUCCAAGAUUCAUUAGAACUGAGUAUAUUUACAUUACAUUAGCAUGAAGCUAACAUUUAUUCACUGUUCUGUGUGACAGGGACUGCUCUGCAUGCUUUAUAUGUGUUAUUUUACAAGUACAUUAUUUAUUGACCUUAGAAGGGGCUAAAAAUAAUAUGAUUUAGAAUGAAGACGAGUUUCCAUCUAUUGACCUUUGGUGGUAUGAUGAAUUUUUGUACACUUAACUCAGAUAUCUUAAUAUUAUGGGAAAUUACAGAAAUACAACACCUCAAAGAAUAAUGCGAGUUUGAAGUAGUCAUGACUGACAAGUAAUAAUUUUAAUGAAAUAGUAGUUUCACUCUACAGGACUAUUUUGGGUUGCUUUGUCCACUGAAAUAAUCACUGUCACUAUCAUGAAUCUUUUUGUGGGCCAUUCUAAUGUUACUUAAAGGGACUGAUUUGGUGUCUUUGUAUUUUGAAAUAGCUGUAUUCAAUCUGAGUUUACAUAAGUAGCUAGAUCUUGGGCCCAAUCCUCACAAUUGUAAUAGCAUGUUCCUUUGGAGAAAAAAAAAAUUGCAUAAAGUGAUUAUUGCUUCUUUUUGUCCAUGGGUUAUGCAAAAUGUCUUACUUGGAAAUAGAAAUAUCUAUAUCCUUGAAACAAGAAAUCAUUAUCUGGAAACUAAGAGUAUACUAGUUUUUCUUGGUGUCUCAUUUGUGACUGAAAGGAUCAGAGGUUUGACUUCAAAGUGUUUAUUGAUACUGUAUAUUAAUAGCUGAUUUAGAAGGAUGCAUAUUUUUUCUGAAGCACUUCAUUAUGUUCCAUAGAAAAGUAAUUACAACACCCUAGUAAUUUUCUGUGUCAGCAAGUAUUGAGUGUAGUCAAAAUAGCAUAGACUUUGGAAUAUGACAGUUCUAGAUUUUGAAUCUCCAGUUGGUGCUUAUUAACUUCUCAUCUUUUGUAAGUACUUAACCUCUCUUGAGAUCUCAUUUCCUCGUCUGUAAACUGAAGCUAAUACCAUUUCUGAAGGUUUUUUUUUUUUUGAGACGGAGUCUGGCUCUGUCCCCCAGGCUGGAGGGCAAUGGCACAAUCUCGACUCACUGCACCCUCCGCCUCCCAGGUUCAAGUGAUUCUCCUGCCUCAGCCUCUCAAGUAGCUGGGAUUACAGGUGCCUGCAACCGCGCCCAGCUAAUUUUCGUACUUUUUAGUAGAGAUGGGGUUUCAUCAUGUUGGCCAGGCUGGUCUCCAACUCCUAACCUCAGGUGAUCCUCCGCCUUGGCCAUUUCUGAAGUUUUAAUACUACCAAACUGAUAGUGCCUGGUUCUUAGAAGGUGAUCAAGUAAGUUUCACUCACUCAAGCUCUGCUUUAUAGGAGAAAACACAGAAUUUGUGUAAUCUUGGCUUUAGUACUACAGAAAAUUGUCUGUUGUUCUUCAAACCUAGCUUUAUACCUUUCGUUGAUUUUGUUGUGUGAACUUAAUAAUGCUUUCGCAACCCUUUUAUUCUGUCAGUAAGCCUUUUGUUUUGCCCUUUCACUGGAUAAUGAAUUUGAGGGUUUGCUCUCUUGAAGUGAAGUUUACCACUAGAGGACUCAAAGAAUGAUUCUGAGGUUUUGAGCCUACAGAAUGGUGAUGCCAUUAACAUGGAAAUAAAGAAGCAGAGGGCAGGGUGGGGGGUUUGGGGAGAAGAUAACGUGGUGAAUUUUGUAUGUGCUGAGUGUGAUGCCGUGUUCAUUACUUCUGGGCAGCAGAGUUAGGAGGGCAUUUGAAAGCUUGAGAGUAGUAGCUGGGUGGCUUUAGAAGCGUGUGCAGACUUAGUGGUGGUUCCUGAGUGAGGCUGUUCACUAAAAAUGAGGACUGCAAGCCUAAUUUUUUUUUUUUUUUUUUUUUGAGACAGGGUCUCACUCUGUCACCCAGGCUGGAGUGCGGUGGCAUGGCAUGAUCAUUGCUCACUGCAGCCUCAACCUCCCAGGCUCAAGGGAUCCUCCCACCUCAGCUUCCCAAGUAGCUAGGACUACAGGCACAUGCCACCAUGCCCAGCUAAUUUUUGUAUUUUUUAGCUGUUGUUAAACUCCUGGACUCAAGCGAGGAUUACAGGCGUGAACCACCAUGUCCGGCCUUAAAGUCUUUAUAUUUGAAAUACCUUUCAGAGUUAAUUAACUCUGAUAUUGUCCCAGAGAUUUAGGUUUCUGUUUUCACUUAAGACCUCAGGAGUUUUCUGAAACUUUCUUGAAACUGUUAGGAAGGCCAUGUGGGUGUGGAAGUAUAAUGUCUCUUCAUCUGAAAUUAGGUCAGCCUCCAAAGACUUGAAUCUUGGAUGUUAAACCCAAAGGCACCUUACAUUUUAAACUCAAAACACAUUUGGACAUUUAAUAUAAGAGGUUUUAGCUAUUUGUAUAAGCAACCGCUAAACACCUGGACACAUAGUCAUUGUAUUUAGCUGAGGAGUGAGCCUUGGAGCUGAAGAAUCUAGCCUACCUCUUCACAUCAGCAUCUCAUUUGCAGCUUUGUGAUUCUCAUGUAACACAGGAUCUCAUUUAAUCCUUGUAAUAAGCGUGCCAUUUCAUUAUCAAUAGGAAAGUGUAUGCUCUUACGAUAUUCAAGAAUUGAUAGAUUCUUGAAGGUUUGUAGACAGAUUUCUUGAGGUUUAGUUAACCUGUGGCAUUGCUGUACCAUUUGUUCAGGGCAUGGAUCUAUUGAAUUCCUAUUCUCCAUAUAUUCAGAAUUUUUUUUUCAAUUCAAUACCCUAUAAUUACACCUUUCAUUAAUUCAACAAACACCAUUAAACAACUGCUGUGCUCCAGGGUAUGUACCUAGGGCACUGGGUUUGCAGAGGUGAGUGAAGGAGACAUGGUUCCUGUCCUGGAAAACGGAAUCUUCUAAGCUCCAAGGGGUCACUGUGCCUGUCUGCUUCCUGACUGUACUCCUGGCACAUUGUCAGUAGUGAAUAUUUGUUGAAUGAGUGAACAUGAUUUAUCUUUUUUCCCCAGAAAUAUGUUUGCUUAUCUCUAACCUUAAUAUACAUUGCCAGCCAAUUCAAAUGAUAGUAAUAAUUAAUGCUGAUGUAGUGCCUACUAUAUCAGCAUUGUUUGUGGCCCUUUAUAUAUGAUAAUUCAUUUUACUUUCAAUGAUCUGAAGUGGAUACAGUUUAUUAUCUCUAUUUUUAAAAUGACACAGAGGAUAAUUAACUUCUCUACGAUUACACAGCUAGUAAGUCGUAGAGCUGGGAUUUAAGUAGUCCUGCUUUAAACUACUACACUCUAUGUAUGUUUCAUGGAGGCUUAAGAGUGAAAGUCAGAUUACUUUCUGACAAGCUUGUGUAUUACUCCUUCAAAAAUGUUUUCUUAUUCAGAGUUUGAUUCCCAGUAGAAUUUUUUUACAGUCUUUAUAUUAUUGCUGAGGUUGUAUUAAACUUACUGUAUUUUUUCUUAGGAUCCAGAGCAAAUUCUUCCUACAAUGAAUUCUACAUUGAGAUAUUUACAGACUAACUAAUUUUAUAGUCCUUUGGUUUCCUUCAUAAUUUUUAUCACAGGCUUACUUACCUAAAUUUGAAUCAUCAAGUUAUAUCUCUAGAAUGUUGUAUCAUCUUUCAUGAAUUAGAAAGGUCUUUUAAAUAAUUUUUGAACUUUCACUUAAAAUACCAUGUGUUUUUUGUUUUUUAGUUUGACAUCCUACUUGAACUUUUUCCUGAUCAUCCCAACCAGAUAACCCCUCCUUCUGUAGUCUCCCAACUCUAUUCUGUAUGUUUGCACUUGUAUACAAUUUGUACUUUAGGUUAUUCUUCCUGUGUAUCUGUUUCCCUUGAUAGGUGGCAAACAAUUUGAGGGUAAGUUUUAGCCCUGUUUGUUUCCUUUAUUAUCACUUCGUUCCUGUUAGGCACUCACUCAAAACCUAUUAGACUGCUUAGUUGGUGCUUUAGAACUUCAUUCCUCAUCAGUACAUUGAUGGGUCCUAGCCUAGCCUCUUCAUUCUAUCAUACCACUUAAAAAAUUCCAAAUUAUAAUUAAUGAGUUUUUUUCAACAGUAUGGAACUCUGAGACCAGACUGCGUAGUGCUUUCAAUUAGACUGUGAAUAUUCUCGUUAAUACUUUUAAAGUUGGUGAGGUGAUGCUAGUCAAACACACUGAGCAUGCUUGCUAAUAACUUUAAGGAAUUGUUACGUCAAGGCUGUUCUCUUAAUUUUUUUUUUUUUUUUUUUAGUGGUUUCGUGGCUCACUUUAGUAGUAAACUCACAUGCAUUUCUCUGCCCUGCAGAGGCAUAAUUUUCAAUUGUUGACAGUGAGCAAGCAGUGGUAGACAAGCAUGUAGUCUGAAUAAGAAAACAGGUCAGUGGAGUUUCUCAUUUAAUUUAGUUAACUCUUUUGGAGGGAAGGUAUAGCAUGCCCAUAAAAUGAAUGGUGAUAACAGAGAGCAUUUCAAAUCUGAGUAGUCAUGCGUAAUCAGCCUUAAAAGCUUCUACCAACCCACUGCUACAUCUCACAGGCUUGUUUCUGAUUAUUCUCCUAAUAGGGACUUUGUGUUCCUUCCCAGCAGAUCUGUUUUUCUGUUUCUCACACAGCUUUUACUUGUUCUUUAUCUAUUCUUCUUUAUCAUGUAACUUCCCUCAUCUACAGGACUCUCUCCUCACUUUCGUGCUUAUUCCGCCCCCCUUUUCAAAACAUGGCUUAAUUGACUUUUGUAGGUUUUGGAAAUUAAUUUGAACAACUUCACUCUCACUGAGACCAGUUUCCCUCCUGCCUAUCCUUUUGUAUAUGUUUUGUACUGUAUUGAUUUUUGUUCAUUUAUGCUGUUGCUUGGUGUGUUUAUGCCAUUGCUUGGCUGCUUCUGCAGUAUCUCUAUAUCCCAGCAAUAUUGUGAGCAAGUUGUGAAUAAAACUCAGAUUUCUUUUCUUUCUUGAUGUGCAGAACAGCAAAAACACAUAAUAGAUGUUUAGAAAACAUAGGCAACUUUUUAGGGCAAGCCAUUUGCUUAGCCCUGCUUUGCUGUGCAUUCAUAGACGUGAUUGGGAUGAUGACUUAAGGCAAUUCUGGGCUCCUCACCCAGGGAAGUGAAAAGUGGGGGUGGUGAAGCUUGAAGCCUUGGAUGUUCCACUGCCUAGCACUAUGGGUACUCUCUCCCCACCCCAAUCAACAUUCUGGGCAUGAGAAGAGAAGGAGGCAGUAAGAACAGAACAAUAGCACAGAAUUCUCUGAGGUCUGACUUCGCUGCUUUGCUGACAAGACGUUGCUGCUUUCCGCUCCCUCCCUUUCAGGAUCUUUUUCCCUUACCUACCCCCACUUUUUUUUAUAUAUAGCAGAGUGAUUGUAAGACAUUUUUUAAAAACUGGUAAUUUAUUGGCAACUAAAAAAAUAAAUUAUGGUAGAAUCUGGAUACCUUGGCACUAUAGCGUAUACUUUUUUUUCAUAAAAUAUAAUGAGGCACAACUAAUGCAGAGUUCCAGUGUGCCUGGCUGCAAGUGGAGGCCCACAAGUCAAUUUAGAGAUGAGGGUGCUGGGUUGGGUCAUGGUACACACAGGAUUUCACACAUUCCCUAGCACAGGCCACUGAGACAUGUGCCAUGUCAGAAUUACAGAUUGUACUACUUGUCAUUAUCUCAUAGGAAUAGUAGAAACUGCAGAUCUUAAACCUUUGAAAGCUAAUGACCCACUGUAUUCUGUGCCUUCAUUCAGAACACUGAAGAAUUAAUGGCUGGUGGAAGGGAGCUUAUGGUUAGAUUUUUUCUGUUUACCACCCACAGUUUUGAACCCUGAGAGAUAGAAAUCUUUUACUUCCCUAAGUACAUUUCCCUCUAAGAUUUGAUUCUGGAGUGAAUCCAAACUUAGCGUUUCUCACUAGCACUUAACAAAUGGCAAAAAGGGAAUUGUCAUAGUUACUAAUUGUAUUGUUUCAUGGUUAUUUUCUACAUAAUGUUCCUUUUUGCUUCUGGUGUUACUCAUUUGACCCUGCACACCCAUCUAGCUGCCUUCCUAUUUUUCUUCUUCCUUUUACUGCCAAAUAACAAAUGACCUGAUUUAUUCUCUACUGCCCGUAACCUGGGCACUAGUAAUCUAACUUUUAUUUUUAUUUUCUGAUUUAUCUUUUGAGACAGGGUCUUGCUCUUUCACCCAAGCUGGAGUGCAAUGGCAUGAUCUUGGUUCACUGCACCUCUGUUACCUGAGCUUAAGUGAUCCUCCCACCUCAGCCUCCCAAGUAGCUGGGACUACAGGUGUGCACCACCAUGCCCGGCCUUUUUUUUGGUAUUUUUAUUAGAGAUGGGGUUUCGCCAUGUUGGCCAGGCUGGUCUCGGACUCCUCAGCUUAAAAGCAAUCUGCCUGCAUUGGCCUCCCAAAGUGCUGGGAUUUUAGGUGUGAGCCACUGUGCUUGAUGUAAUUUAACGUUUAUAUUCCCCCCCUCCCCCCCUUUUUAAAGAUAUUCUUAAAGUUCAUUGUUAUCCUAAUCACCACAUCCAGUGACCUUUCACUUUCCUUGCAAUUGGCAGUGAAUCACUUCUUGGUGGAUAUUGUCUCUUCUUGUUCAUCAUGGAGCUGAAAUACUCUGUCUUUAACAUCCUGAUUGUCUUCCUGCUGUCUGGUUUGGAGUCAGCUUUGACUCCUCUUUUCCAUUUAUCCAACUUACAAAGUCCUUCAGAUUCUCUUUGAAAGGACUUAGCCAUUCUUUUCUGUUCUUAGUGUUACUCUAAUCCAAGCUCUGAAUGCCUCAUUGAUAAACUACUAUAGUGGCCUCCUAAAUCUUAAGCUUUUCUGUGAUUGCUGAAGAAUAGAUUAGUGAAUUAUAAAUUAUAUGCUACUCUUCUGAAAUGUUCAGUGAAAAUUAGUGUGGCAUUUAGAGCCUUCAUCAUCUAGCUUCAGUGUACCACCUAGCCACCACUACGGUCCUUGCAUUGACCUAUUGGCACCCUGAAUUGUAUUGCCUCUCUUGUUUUGACUAAUAAAAAACCUGCCCAUUCUUUAAGGUCUAGAGAUGAGGUACUUACUAAAAAAAAAAAAAUCCCAAU